rnacentral:rRNA from 1 species
CUAAUACCGGAUGUGCCGGAAGGUGAAAGGCUUGCUGCCUGAAGAUGAGCUCGCGUCCGAUUAGCUAGUUGGUGGUGUCAGGGACUACCAAGGCGACGAUCGGUAGCUGGUCUGAGAGGAUGACCAGCCACACUGGGACUGAGACACGGCCCAGACUCCUACGGGAGGCAGCAGUGGGGAAUUUUCCGCAAUGGGCGAAAGCCUGACGGAGCAAUACCGCGUGAGGGAGGAAGGCU